UUAUAUCCUGAGACAUUACCUGGUUAUAACCUGGUUAUAACCUAAGACAUUACCUGCAUAUAACCAGGUUAUAACCUGGUAAAAUGAUAAAAAUUGUG